GUGUCUCCUCAUUGGACAUAGAAUUUUUAAUACCUUCUCUUUGUCAAUGGUGGUCUGUGAUUUGACUGUGGGACGUCUAGGCUGCUUUUGUUAUUUACUUUUUUUUUAAUAUUUAGUGUUUUUUUGUCUUAGGUGGACACAACAUCUUUAUUUAUUUCUACGUGGUGCUGAGGAUUGAACCCAGUGCCUCGCACAUGCCAGGCCAGCGCGCUACCACUUGAGCCAUGUAUCCUCCAUGGGGUUCAUUUCAACUCCUGAAUCUGAGGACAGAUGUCUUUCAUCAGUUAUGGAAAGUCCUUUGAAUACUCCCUCUCCCCCUUCUCUCUAGUGUCUACUCUUGGAACUCUGAGUAGGCACUAUUAGGUCUUUUCCUUCUGUCCUCUAUGUGGUGACAUUCUCUCGCUUUCCCUCUCACUCUCUCUCCCACAUUCCGGACAAUUUCUUCAGACUUCUUGUCACUUUUUUUCCCCUUCUUCAGCUGAAGUUCACCUGCCGUUCAACAAUGACAAUGGUUUUUAAUUUUCAAUUAUGACUUUUCUUUAUUUCUGAAAGGUUGACAUGCUUCAGUUUUAAUCUGCCUGUUGUUUCUGUAAUGUCUCUUGAUCCUUUGUCAUUGUUUCAACUUCCUUUUUUAUUUUUCUGAACAUUUGAAUCUAUUUAUUUUACAUUCUGAAUCCUACAAUGCCAACAUCUGAAGUCUUAGGGGAUCCAACUCUGUUGUCUGCUAUUCUUCUGACUAGCUCAGGGUGGCAUUUUUCUUGGAAGCUUUGGAUUUUAAUUCCCAGUUAGACCUGCAUCUGUGGGAAUUCACUGAAGAUUGGACUGGGGGUGUUUUCUUGCAGGGAGAUUUUAUUUUGCUUCUGUUGAGCACCUGGGAGCACCAAAGACUUGAUUUUCUUAUUUUCUGUACCUUUAAAAAUUGAGCUA
rnacentral:lncRNA from 1 species